AUUGAACGCUGGCGGCAGGCCUAACACAUGCAAGUCGAACGGUAACAGGAAGAAGCUUGCUUCUUUGCUGACGAGUGGCGGACGGGUGAGAAAUGUCUGGGAAACUGCCUAAUGGAGGGGAAGAACUACUGGAAACGGUAGCUAAUACCGCAUAACGUCGCAAGACCAAAGAGGGGGACCUGCGGGCCUCUUGCCAUCGGAUGUGCCCGGAUGGGAUUAGCUAGUAGGGGGGGUAACGUCUCACCAAGGCGACGAUCACUAGCUGGUCUGAGAGGGUGACGAGCCACACUGGGACUGAGACACGGCCCAGACUCUUACGGGCGGCCGCGGCUGCGACUAUUGGACACUGGGCGGAAGCCUGCUGCAGCCAGGCCGCGCGUAUGCAGAAGGGCUUCGGGUUGUAUAGUACUUUUAGCGGGGAGGAAGGGAGUAAAGAUAAUACCUUUGCUUAUUGACGUUACCUGCAGAAGAAGCACCGGCUAACUCCGUG
rnacentral:rRNA from 1 species